rnacentral:rRNA from 1 species
CCAGACUCCUACGGGAGGCAGCAGUGGGGGAUAUUGCACAAUGGGGGAAACCCUGAUGCAGCGACGCCGCGUGGGCGAAGAAGUAUUUCGGUAUGUAAAGCUCUAUCAGCAGGGAAGAAAAUGACGGUACCUGACUAAGAAGCCCCGGCUAACUACGUGCCAGCAGCCGCGGUAAUACGUAGGGGGCAAGCGUUAUCCGGAUUUACUGGGUGUAAAGGGAGCGUAGACGGCAUGGCAAGUCAGAUGUGAAAGCCCGGGGCCCAACCCCGGGACUGCUCUUGGAACUGCAUGGCUGGAGUACAGGAGGGGCAGGCGGAAUUCCUAGUGUAGCGGUGAAAUGCGUAGAUAUUAGGAGGAACACCGGUGGCGAAGGCGGCCUGCUGGACUGUGACUGACGUUGAGGCCCGAAGGCGCGGGGAGCAAACAGGAUUAGAUACCCGAGUA